UGAAAUAUUUACCUGAAGUAGAUAAGAGCGUUGAAGUUCCAUGUAUACCGUGAUAAGUACCGCCACCUCGCUUCGGAGAAUUGUCAUUACAUCCGUUGGUAGUUAUUGAGUCUGAGUCAGUAAAGAUGAGCCUGAUAAAGUCGUCCUUUCACUCAUACGCGAUCACUUCAUAUCGAAUGUGGCUCUUAGUGUAUAUUAUCACUUUUCAACAACUGACAGGAACGUGCAAACGUUUGAUAUAUAAUAGAGCAAUAAAAACCGGAUAUUUCUUUUCAUAAGAUAAAUAGCUUUCCAAUCGUAGUCACGAAACAUGAAAUGACCGAAAAAAGAAGAAGAGAAACAAAAAAUAAUUAAAGAUUAAUACGAUCGAAAUGGGAUUACCGCAAGAUCUCUCGUUGCUCGUAAACUGCAAUUUAGAUAAACCAGUGCGGUUUAGUAUCUCGAGGCGAUCGUUAUAUUUGAAUGUUGAGAGUGAGCGAAGACUCGCCGUUAGUAUUCACUUUGUUGUUGGAAAAAUUUCGGAGAAAGCGUGACGAAUCGAGUAUUCAAACUUACAUAGAAUAUAAUGUUUUGAUGUUUAGAAUUAAAUAAAUAUUCUUUUAAUAUGA